UCUCCAGGCUCUGCCCUCAGGUGAGGCUGGUCCCUGGCACCGGCAGCCUCCUAUAUAUUGGAUAUCCUGGAAAAGAUUACCUGGGUAUUCUUCACUCUGGCCAAUCUGAGUUCGGUCACUUCAGUCUUCUCUGAUGUCAGCAUGCAAAUGGUCCCCUGGGUACUUGUCGCAUCCGCUCUCGACCAGCAAGAACGACAGGACCACCAGUUCUUCUAACAGCAGUUUAUUCAGCAAGCUUCAGUCUUCAUCUCUCUCCAAGGAACCCUGGGUCUCUCACUCUUAUAUUCUCUCAGCCCCUAUCCACCUCACCAGGCACUCGGUUUCAGCCAAUCAGGGCGGCAGGGGUGCGUCUCCACCAAAUAUGGACUUGUUUACACCACCAGCUCUGCAUCCGGCAGGUGCCAUCUUUCAGGCAACUUCCAGAAAAACACCACGUGUCUGUUCUCAGCAAAACAUCCUCCCACAUGUCUGCUUCAGCAAAAACAUCCUCUCAGAGACAGUUUCCAGAAAAACAUCACAUGGCACAACUGAGUCUCCAAAGAAACCAGAAAUUUCCACUUCAAGGUGGGUCAGAGCUUUAUGUCUUAGGUGUGUGGCUUCCUAGAGGUGUAAGGGGACAAGAAAGAGGUGCAGGCUAAAGAACAAGGCUCUACUUUGAGGAUUUUAUUUGGGCUUGGUUUGAAAGUCAAUUUUACUUUGGCCACUUGUCAGCAGUGAAGAAGGGGUGGGAUAGAGGGGCCAGCAGGCUGUAGCCAGAAGGGUCAUGACUUCUCACUGUGA
rnacentral:lncRNA from 1 species